rnacentral:rRNA from 1 species
UACGUAGGUGGCAAGCGUUGUCCGGAUUCACUGGGUUUAAAGGGUGCGUAGGUGGGUAAGUAAGUCAGUGGUGAAAUCUCCGGGCUUAACCCGGAAACUGCCAUUGAUACUAUUUGUCUUGAAUACUGUGGAGGUCAGCGGAAUAUGUCAUGUAGCGGUGAAAUGCUUAGAUAUGACAUAGAACACCAAUUGCGAAGGCAGCUGGCUACACAAAUAUUGACACUGAGGCACGAAAGCGUGGGGAUCAAACAGG